rnacentral:lncRNA from 12 species
CACAACGGGGAAGCAAUGCCCAAAGUAUGUCAUGUCUUGGAUUUCAAGCCAACUCACUGAAAUCGAGUAAAGAUGAGGAAAGAGAAGUUUCUGUUUGUGCUCCAAUGUCCUCAUCACUCACCACAUAGUUCUGCUGAUGGGAAAGAGAGGCUGCCGGAAGGAAACAGAAGUUCAUCAAGGGCUGGCAAAAUAUUAAUCUGGAAGCUCACGGAUGGGCAGUGAUGCGGGCUCUCCGGCAGCGGGCGUCCCCUUCAUGGUCAUGCUACCUGUGGGCUGGACGAGCCCACCACCCCGUCCUUGCAAGGGGGCGGGGGGCACUCACCGUGACGCACCACUCAUCCUCUGUUCUAGAUCUACCUCCACAUUACUUUCUGAGACACGAGGCCGGGAGGGGAAUGGAGACAGAAAGGGAGCAGCAGAGUUCAGCAAGAAGCACAGGAGAGGCACCAUUACUCAUGGGCCGACAAACUGAACAGAGGGGAGGAGGGCCAGGGGCAGAAGAGGAGACCUGA